GAUGAACGCUGGCGGCGUGCCUAACACAUGCAAGUCGAACGGAGUAUUAUUUAGUCUUCGGACUAAAUAAUGCUUAGUGGCGGACGGGUGAGUAACGCGUGGGUAACCUGCCUCAUACAGGGGGAUAACAGCUGGAAACGGCUGCUAAAACCGCAUAACAUUGCGAUGCCGCAUGGUAUUGCAAUUAAAUAUUUAUAGGUAUGAGAUGGGCCCGCGUCUGAUUAGCUAGUUGGUAGGGUAAAGGCCUACCAAGGCGACGAUCAGUAGCCGGCUUGAGAGAGUGACCGGCCACAUUGGGACUGAGACACGGCCCAAACUCCUACGGGAGGCAGCAGUGGGGAAUAUUGCACAAUGGGGGAAACCCUGAUGCAGCGACGCCGCGUGAGUGAAGAAGUAUUUCGGUAUGUAAAGCUCUAUCAGCAGGGAAGAAAAUGACGGUACCUGACUAAGAAGCCCCGGCUAACUACGUGCCAGCCGCCGCAGUAAAAC
rnacentral:rRNA from 1 species